UACAUGGGGUGCAAACGUUGCUCGGAAUUAUUGGGGGUAAAGCGCACGUUGGCGGUUUGUUAAGUCGGAUGUGAAAUCCCUCGGCUCAACUGAGGAAGUGCACCCGAAACUGGCAGGCUUGAGUACUAAAGAGGGUCGCGGAAUUCCCGGUGUAGAGGUGAAAUUCGUAGAUAUGGGGAGGAACACCGGUGGCGAAGGCGGCCACCUGGACGGUAACUGACGCUGAGACGCGAAAGCGUGGGGAGCAAACAGG
rnacentral:rRNA from 1 species